rnacentral:rRNA from 1 species
UACGAAGGGUGCUAGCGUUGCUCGGAAUCACUGGGCGUAAAGCGCGCGUAGGCGGAUUGCUAAGUCAGGGGUGAAAUCCUGGAGCUCAACUCCAGAACUGCCUUUGAUACUGGCGAUCUCGAGUCCGGGAGAGGUGAGUGGAACUGCGAGUGUAGAGGUGAAAUUCGUAGAUAUUCGCAAGAACACCAGUGGCGAAGGCGGCUCACUGGCCCGGUACUGACGCUGAGGUGCGAAAGCGUGGGGAGCAAACAGG